rnacentral:rRNA from 1 species
CACGUAGGGCGCAAGCGUUGUCCGGAAUUAUUGGGCGUAAAGAGCUCGUAGGCGGUCUGUUGCGUCCGCUGUGAAAACUCGGGGCUUAACCCCGAGCCUGCAAUGGAUACGGGCAGACUAGAGGUAGGUAGGGGAGAAUGGAAUUCCCGGUGUAGCGGUGAAAUGCGCAGAUAUCGGGAGGAACACCGGUGGCGAAGGCGGUUCUCUGGGUCUUACCUGACGCUGAGGCACGAAGGUCAGGGGAGCAAACGGG